GUGGCAUACGCUAGCAAGUCUCGACCCCAGGAACACUUGGAAUAAAAACCCACUAACCAAUGAGCCGCAUGCUCAUCAUUGUAAAAGCUUGUAGAUGAUAAAUAUAAAACGAUAAAUUCCAGGAUAGGCCCCAGCUUCCGCAAACUGGUCCGUAAUGCUUUUAACGAUGUUGUUCAGCAUUUUUAUACAAUUCGAUGACUAAACCACUUUAGUUUUAAUUGAUUUUUUUGCAGAUGUGACAUUUAUAUAGUGAUUUAUAAUAUGAAUAGUUUUUAUCAUAAACACAAAGUCUAUAAAUGGGUGACAAACAAUUUUGAGUAGGAAUUUCUACUCAUCCGUUGAGUAGCCAAGUCAUACUCAUCUAUAAAUGGGUAACGAAUAAUUUUGAGUGGAACUUCUACUCAUCCAUUGAGUAGCCAAGUCCUGAUGACCCAAAUUCAAAAGUACUACGUCCAAAAUUUUUUGCAAGUAUCCUCAUAAACACAAUCUUUUUUCUUCUACUUUUUUUCUAAUUUAUUUUUCUAAUUAUGCAUAAUUGUUUUGAGAGUAACCAAAUAUGCAUAUAGAAUUAACAUGUGACAAAAGUACCGGAAAGAAAGAUAACAUGCCUCAUAGGCCUCUGAGAUCUUGAAUUUGGCUUCUACUUCUUUCUCGUUAGGACAAUUUUAUGGGGGUGUAUUCAAUUGAGAAUUUGAGAGACUUUAAUGGAUUUAUAAAUCCAUGGAUUUUUAUGGAGUUUAAUUGAUUUGUAGAGAUUUCAUAUAAAAUUUUGAUUCAAUUCCCUCGAAAUCUCAUGAGAAGAUGUGAGAUUUGUGGAUGCUUAAAAUACACUACGAAAUCUCUCAAAUUCCCUCUAAUUCCUCAACUUUCUCAAAUUCUUUAAAAUCAAUUUCUAAUUGAAUACACCUGGAAUGUUAUAAACUUCUUUAAAAUCCUAAUUGAAUACACCCAGAUUUCUAAGGAUUUUAAUAAACUAUCCUAAAAUUCUAAUUGAAUACACCUUGAAUUUCAGAGAAUCACUUAAAAUCUUGAUUGAAUACCCCUAAAUUCAUUAAAAGAAUUAAAAUCCCUCAAAAUCUCAAUUGAAUACACCCCCCUUAGUCACUAGUCAAGGCGUCAUUUCAUGGUCAACCUCCUAUAUGCCUUCUUUAUAUCGUCUUUCAUAACAUUUCUGUUUACCUUCAAUACUUUAUAAUAAUCCACCCCAUCUUCUUGAAAUACUAUUAUUAUAGCUUUAUUAAAGAAUAUAAUAAAAGUGAAAUACUCACCUUGAUGCUCACUCUGCUUUAGAGAUAUCAAUACAUAUAGAGCAUAAUCUAAUAAACCAGGGAGGUUUAUGAGCGGGAAAUGGGGAAUGUUGGUGUGCUCACUUCGUAUUCAAACAAUCCAAACUGUCUACUUUUUCAAGUUUUGGUUCAUAGAUAAUCUUUGCUAAAUAUUGGUUAAAUAAAAAAUGAUUGUGUGACGAAAGAAAUUGGUUAAUACUGAAAUUUCUUGAUGAGAAUCAAAUAGCUAAAUAGUUUCAUAAUGAAUUAAAUUUUUCACAAGGAUGAUCUAUGAAUCGAUUUUUAAAAAUUAGACUAUUUGGAUCAAUUUUAAAAUGAUGCGGACUGAGCCCACAAGACACUUCCUGGCUUUCAAUUAUAUAAGAGCAUAAUUGAAUUAAACUACUUGACUUGGUGACACCCCGACCCUGAUAUUCCCCGAAUACCAGGAUAGACACGUGCUGGCCGACACCUAAGGGUGACGAAAGCCAUUAAUUGAUACAAAAGCUAAGAAUAAAAAAUAAAUAAGGGUUAUGAAUUUAAAAUACAAUGAAUUAAAAAUUUAGGAACGUGCUCAGAGCAUACAACUAACAAGAGUUUUAAAAGAAUUAAUAUAAAAUUGAAUAAAUAAAGGAUGUGGAUCCUACACCGAGAGGACUCGAAUAUGCCAAUGCGAAAGCGUUGACGUCGGGAUUGUAUGCAUCGAUUCUAAAUCCUGUUAUAUACAUACAUAAUAAAAAAAACAGUUGUGAACAUACUAACCCCCAAUUUUUAAUAAUGAAAACUACUAGCAUAAUAAGUGAUAGGUUUUCAGAAACUCUAGCAUGCCAUAAAAUAUCUCGACAGGUAUAACGCGGAAAAAACAUCAUAUAAAUCAUCGCGUGUAUCAUCUCGUAAAUCGUCUCGUAACCGCGGUGUGCUGCCUGCUCCGUGGUCUCUACACCCGUAGCCAGAGAUUACCAACUCCCGGCCCAAUGCCUGCUCCAUGUCCCUCAGCCCGUAGCUAGGGAUUAUUUCUCCCGGCCUAACUGCCAACACCAGAUACUCGCCCCAGGCGGCAUAGUGUCCACUAGGUACGCACAAAUAGUUACGCCUUUCAUAAAUAACCACUUCAUAGUAUAAUGUUAUCCAUCGUCUAUACUAUAAAGAGGGGUUUCUAAAACAUGUUCUAGCAUCCUAUCGUCAUCCAUCAGAUAGUCUACCAGUUCAUGGUUUUUAUAGAAAAUACGAUAUAUUAAAAUAUAGCUCAAUAUAGGCUAACAAUGAAUUCUUCACCAAAAACACGAGACGAAAAUCAACAUGUUCAAUAAACAUGCUUAACAUAAAAUCAAAAUAUAAACUCGUAAGGCAUGCUAUUCAUUUAUGCAAUUGAACUAUAAAAUCAUGUAAAUUUUAGAAGGGGUCCACUCACAGUACUUCGCCAUCGAAAAGCCGUGCAGCUAACGAAUAUGCAAAAGCCACAAUAAUUGUCCCUAAGCACAUAAAGAGUCCAAUAAAUAAAACUAUAUAAUAGCAAUUGAAUUUGGGAAAAUGGACAUUGGAAAUGGAUUCAGAACGUCGAAUUACCCUAAUAAGGAUCCUGGAUAACUUUUGUGAACGUAAAUAGAAUAUUCCAGAGAAUAUUUCCUGACUGAUUAUUCUUUCAUGGAAUAUUCCCUAAUGGAAUAUUCCACAAGAAGGCUUGAGUCGGCUAGGGUUUAGGGUUGGAAGGGUUAAAGGGUUUAGGCUUAGGAUGCACGAGCCUAAGGCCCUAAAGGAAAAUGCCUUAAAGGCCUUAGGCUUUUUUGAAAAUCAAUUAAUAAACAAAAAUAAUUAAAAAGGUUGGGGUUAGGCUUAGGGCCCUCAACAGAUACAGCCCAAAGGCCUUAAGCCUAAGGGUUUUAGAACAAAACAAAAUAAAUUGAACUAAAAAGGGUUUGAAAGGUAUUGGGCUUGAAAGCCCAGCCCAAUUGUUUUGGGUUUGAAAUAAAAUAAAUAGAAACAAAAUGAAAUAAAAGGAGUUGGGUUGGGUUUAAGCACGGCCCAAAGGGCCUGGUUCGAAUGGGUUUAGGCCCGAAGGCCUUGGUUUCUUGGUCUCGCCGGAGAAGAAGGCCAGAAUUCGGCCAUAAUUUCCCUAACUUUAAACGCUCAUAACUUUGUCAAAACUCAACGAAAUCAAGUGAAACAAAAACGAAAGUUGUAGCCCUUGAAGAGAAAGAGAGAAUGGUACCUCAGAUGACAUCUAACUCACCGUGUUUUGGCUGGAAAAUGCUUCGAAAGCCUCGGAGGUCGCCGAAAACUGGGUAAGAUUCAAAUGAGUAUAACUUCUUCAAUACUCAACGAAAUUGAGUGAAACAAAAAGGAAAGUUGUAGUUCUCAGCGAGAUGAAGAGAUUGAUACCUUUCAUGCUAGCCAACUCGCCGUGGUUUGACCGAAAAUUGUCUCGAAAGUCACCGGAGUCGUCGGGGGAGACUUGGGUGUUCUUUGGAUGUCCCGGAGCUUCGCCGAGAUGGGGGACAGAGAAGAAAGUUCCAGAGGUGAUGGUGGUGUCAUAGCUAGGUGGUUAUGGUGGUGGGUAUGUGAGUGCACGAGUGUGGGUGUGUGCUCAUGGGAGGACGAGAAGGAGAGAAACGAG
rnacentral:lncRNA from 1 species